UAAAACAGAAGAAGUCUCCCUCAAAGAAAUCCUUACAUUUAUUUGUCAUAUAUCCUUGGAUUCCACUUGGCUGUGACUUUCUCAGAGCGCUGGUCAGGUAUUUUGUAGACUUAUAAAGAAUGUGCCUGAUGAAUUAUGAGAAGGACUACAGAGGAUUGUUUUGGGGCUCCUGCAUAAGAGAAAUAUUAAAAAGGUGAAAUGGUAGCACUGCAAUAUGAGGGGAGAAAUAGAGAAAAAAUGAUUUCAAGCCUCUUAUGGGAGAAUGAUUUGUUUGUUUGACAGAAAUGAGAUUGCUCUAAGAGAUUAACCUAGGAAGUAAUGGAGUCAGGAAGGAAGCUGAGACCAGAAAGUGAAGAUUCUGAAGUAAAUGGGUACUUGCUCUGACCAAGAUCGAAACCCACCUCUCCCCAGGGAAUAUUGGAAGAGGGCAUGGAAGACAAGCAUUGGAAAAGUAGAAUGUUUUUGCUUUUCUUUCUGGUGGACUGCAUUAAAUAUUCAGCAAAAGGAGGGAUCAAUUUACAUUACUCUUCUUGUUUCUCAUGUAUCGACUGACAGGUGCUGUAAACAUACAUAGACAAACAUAGUCCUAAGCUUGCAGUGCUCUGGUGACCAAGGGAAGACAGGCUUCAGUCUCCCAAAGUGAUCACACUGAGAAUUUAGCAGACACACUAUGCUCAGCUUGGAGCAUCCAUUCUAUUCCCACAAAACAAUAGGAGCUUGCCUUUCAGCUGUGAUUCUCAAGAAAACCCAUUCAGAGAAAUGGUUUUGUUGCACUGAUGAGUUACUAAGGUAGAACAAUCUUGUUUUGAUUCUGGAGACUUAACUGAAACCUUCACUAGUAUUUUUGAAAUAAUAGCAGCAAGAACCUAAGAGGCACCCUUGUCUUCUAAACAUCUUGCUUUGCUGGUGGUAAAACGCCAAUUCACAGCUCCUCGAUUUCACCAAGGGUGGAAGCCCAGCCACCAGGGAUAAAGAACCGACCUUGGCUUUGAGGUGAGAACCAGUAUUUAAAGGAUUCACUGAUUCAUGUUCUAGAGAUGUCAUGGUAAAUAAAUUAUGACUGUUUAUACUGAAAACUAAGAGGCUCCUUAUUCUACACUAUAGGCAGCGAUUUGGCUGAGAUUGUCUCAUUCUGUGAUACUAUCACACACUACCUUUUUUCUCACUUGAAUUGUACUUUUGGCUGUCAUUUGCGCUUUUGAAUAAAGGUUUGCAUUAGUGGAAGAUAUCAUAAUAGCAUAUCUCCUUUUCCUGAGUUGAUAUACAAAUCAAAAAGAAAGGAUAAGGCCAAGACUCCCUUUGUCCUUGGGAAAGUAUGCCAUCUGCAUUUAGCUUAUGAUAUUCGGCUGGGAACAAAAUUCUAGCAUAAGGAAGUCGUUAAUACAACCCUCAACUUACACUGUAAAUUCAAAGUACUUUAAAUGUCUUAUAAUAGUCAAAGCCAGUAAAAUCGACCCUGUAUAUUUUUAUUUCAUCUCUGUUGGAUCAUAUGAUAUUUAAUAAUUGGUUCUGGCACCUCGUUGCAAAUUAUUAUAACUUUGAGAUUCAACAGUCCUAUUGAACAUAUGGGCAGCACAGCCUCAGAACAUAUAUAUGAUACAGCCUCUUGAGAGGACCUUCUGUCUUGUUUUCCUUAGCUUGGAAGGGUCAGAUAAAUUUUGCUGUGUCGUCAUGUGCUAAGAUUCCUCAAUCUCUGUUUUGCAGGGUAAAAGCUUAAUGGAACUGAUUUUUUUUUUUUUUUUUCUGCCUUAACUGUGAACACUUCCUAUGCAAAGCCAAAAGAGAAAUUCGUGCAUCUGGGAUGCAGUUUAGUGGGCUCUUACUAAAGCAGAUAUAAAGCUAUUCCAGUACCAGUGUACAAGUAUUCAUCAACCCAGAAUAGGUUCUCUAACUUAGUGCCAUAUUGUAUCCUGGUUUAGCAGCAAACUACAAGAGUUUCUGGAGUCAGGAGACCUUCCCAUGCUAUUAAAGCAUAUGAUGUUUCUUUACUAAUCCUGGAGAAGAUGGAAAGUUGACGAUAAAAUACAGUUGACCCCAAGAAACCUUUCAUAUAGUUAGAUAUUCUCCCUUCACUAUUUCCUUUUUCCAGCUCCACUCUCAGUAUCACCCUGAGACAAUGUUAGGAAAAGCAAUUCUGCAUCAACAGCCCAUUAAGGUUAUUUUCAAAGUUCCUGCUGCUUUGCCUCUAUAUCUAGCCUGUGUGCCUUGAUUCGCACUUGUAUUAUUUCACAUUAAUUGCCAUAUUGUUUAUUGCCAUAUUCAAACAUGUUAUAAUAUGGGCACAGUGGCGAUAAUUACAUAGUUAGCUGUCCUUAAAAAGAGAUGUCAAGAUGGAUAGUGGUGGGUGGGGUAGGCAGAAGGUUAUGAUUUAUACCUUUUGUUGACAUUGUGGAACAGAGCUGGUUCAAUUUCUCUUGAUUUCACUGUAAUGCCUAAUACUAAAAUUUCUCUGUCAUAUAAUUAUUCAUUACUAAGACUACUAAGCUAAAAAGUUCAUGAAGGUGGGGGGCAAUGGUUAAAGGAAAUUUUCAAGCACUGAUUUUCCUCUUGCUAUUGUAAUAUUACAUUUUAAAAAUUGACAUAUUUUUGGACAAGAAAUACCAUAUUUGAUGUCUAUAAUCCUAACUCAUUUUAAAACUAAAUAACCUGUUUUCUUUAAGAAAUUUUUUUUGGACAAAAAUACUUUUCAUACCUAUGCUUUUGUGCACAGAUAUUUGCUCUAAAUAUGCAAAAAAGGACAUUCUGAGACUCUGGAAUGUGAUUCCUUCCACCCCACUUUGUUAUAGUUAUAAAAAUUCUCCUCUCAUUGAGCCAUCCUACCCUCUGUCACCACC
rnacentral:lncRNA from 1 species